rnacentral:lncRNA from 1 species
CUGUCCGUGGGCAAUUCAUUCUUGGCUCAUGGCAUCGGUAGUGCUUUCGCUCAUCGCCUACUUGUCCUCGAAGCUUCAUGCUAGUUUCCAGGAUCCUGUGGUGAGUGGAACACCCCCUUUGCCAUAAAAAAUAUAUUAUGUAGGUAAGUACUACUGCUUGCUACCAUCAUCCGACCGUUUCGCGGUAGCAGGUUUAAGUUUCUAUUUGAAUAAAUGUCUGAAACUUCAGACUAGUUUGAACGGUACUGGAAUUGGAGUUUGUAUGAAGUACUCCUAUCUCUUUCGUUUGGAGAAGUAUUGGAGUAUGUUAAGUAGACUUGGUGAUGUGUUGUAAUAGUUGGCUUGAAGGUUCUGUGUGUAGACUUGGUUUGUUUGUACUCUGUGGUGUUGACACCUGAAAUCAGUGAUGUAUUGAGACUUGGAAUGGUUUGUGAAGUUCCUUAUGCUGUGGUCUGUGGCUCAUUUGCUUCACACUUGGAACCUCAGACUGAGGCAUAUUCCAUUUGCUUCACACUUGCAGCUGCCAAUUUGCAAGAAGGCAUCGCCUUUUACUUGAUUGGAUACUCGAGGAAAGAGAAUUUGCUUUGGCUAGCUCUUUGUAAUGAGAGUAGCAAUCCUGGAGAAAAAAUUAAUCAUAGACAAUUACAGAUAUUACAAAGCACUUCAAACAAAAAUCGAAGCAUAGGUAUAGUAAGUUAGCACAAAAGUAUUUGACAAAUUGUAAUAUACUCCCUCUGUAAACUAAUAUAAGAGCGUUUAGAUCACUAAAAUAGUAAUCUAAACGCUCUUAUAUUAGUUUACGGAGGGAGUAUCAAAGAAGCAUUAUACCUCCAAUAUAUGAUGUCCAUUAAUAAAAUAAUUACAUUCCUUUUCUGAAAACUAAACAUAUCUCCAUAUGCAUCAUUGACUUACUAUCAUUAUAUUAGUAUGCCAACAACAAACAUCAAAACAUAUAUCCAAAAUAACUUGUUUAUAUCCCACCCAAAAAGGAGCUUUGUAAUAGCCUUUCAUCACCAAAUAAUAAAAAUUAACAUGACAAGACAAUAAAAAAAACCUUAAAGUUCAAUAAUUGCAAUCAAACACAUUGAAAUAUGUAUUCCUUAUUUCGUCCAGAGGAGAUCUAGUGGGUUUACGCAGGUUCAACCCUGAAAUUGAUAACAACACUACGUCCUACUAUAUUGUAUUUGAUUAGUCUGUAGUCCUGCUAAAUUUUACUGACUAGUCUGCGGUACGAUGACAUUUCUCAUGAGAUGGGAUAGGGCAGCUUCCCUAUUUAUAUAUUGGGUGUAGUAGUAUGGUAGCUAUAUUUUAGGAAUCUGUUACAUACGAGAUAUCCCUGGACACAUGGAAAGUGGAUCACCAUGUAACCAUAAGACUCCUAAUGUUACGCUCCCAACCUUAUAUCCUCUUGGGUUCCCAGUCGGGUGCUCGGAGCACAAGACCCCAGAGCCCCGGGGACUCGUUAAAAAGGAAAGGGUCAAGAGUGUCCGUAUGGUGUUCCCAGAUGAGUAGAAACAUGCGGAAUGAGGGUAUCCCAUCAUGGGAUGUCCAGGACAUCUCCGUCAAUCUGUUGUAAUGGGUCGGGUGCAAACGUUAUCUGAGUAGUGGUGGUCGAUCGAAGUCAUGCUUGUAGACCCCCCGACACUGAACGCACAACGACAUCAGCCCGAGUGUGAGCACAUGCCCCAUUGGGGGAUUUCAACCGUUGUCUGCCCGGAUGUUGGUGGGUGCAUGAUGGAGCAGCUAUGGUGUCCUUUUUGGCACUCACGUCUCCGCACCUAGCCGCCAAAAGCCACCCACUGCACAUUGGAGUGUGCAUCAAGCAACAACCGCGAGUGAAGCAACCAGACGAUACAAUCCGCCUUCCAGAAGCGUACACGUAGCAGGUGAACGUGACACCUAUCGUGUGAUAGGAAGUGACCAUCAGCAUGGCUCUCCACGCCGCAUCUACACCAACCGGCUACUCAGCAACACACCCUCAUCUUGCGUCCGCCGACCAAAACCAACGCACCAAACCACCAUAUCAACCACAACACCUCUAAACGCCCGAACCAAGUUCGUGUGCUCCAAUGUGACGCCCGGAUAAUUAAACUACAAUAAUCCUUUGCUAAUGAUGCCACGUCACCACGAUUACUGUUGUUAAACUCGCAUAGGUUCAAAACCGGUCCAAAUUCAAAUUUAAAAUAAAGUCGAAAAAUCAAAUUUUCAAAUGUCAAAACUAAAAUGUUCUAGGUGUGGCAAAUAAUCUUUGAUUAUUUGUCAUGUCGGAACCUAUAAUUUAUAAUGUGCUUUAAUGCCCUAAAAAAAUAAAACAUGGCUAAAAUAAUUAUUAAAUGCUUUUUAAUUAAUGCACAAACACAAACUAUUUAGUUAAUGUGUCAAGUUAUUUAAGGCAGUGGAGUUAUUUAAUAACGCUAAUUUAGGUGCUUCUUUGGUAUUAUAUAAAACUAAAACAAUAUAAAAGAAGCUAGAAAACAGGGAAUGUAAAAGAAGAAAGAAACAACACCCCCCGGGCUUUGGCCCACCAAGCCGGCCCACCUACCUCACACGAACUGGCCCAGUUCCCCCUCCUGCGCCGUCUUCACUGUGCGGGCGACCGAGCGCCCGCGUCAGGUUGCCACCACGCCGCCUCGCCGGUGUCGACAGGGGGAUAAGGCCGCGACGCCUCGGCUUUCCCCUGCCAUCUCUGUGAUACGUCUCCAACAUAUCUAUAAUUUUUUAUUGUUCCAUGCUAUUAUAUUAUCUGUUUUGGAUGUUUAAUGAGCUUUAUUAUGCACUUUUAUAUUAUUUUUGGGACUAACCUAUUAACCAAAGGCCCAGUGCAAAUUGUUGUUUUUUUGCCUAUUUCAGUGUUUCGCAGAAAAAGAAUAUCAAACGGAAUCCAAACGGAAUGAAACCUUCGCAAGGAUCUUUUUUGGAGCAAACGCAAUUCAGGAGACUUGGAGUGGAGGUCAAGAAAGCAACAUGGCGGCCAUGGGGUAGGGCGGCGCGCCCCACCCUCGUGGGCCCCUCGUAGCUCCACCGACCUACUUUUUUCGCCUAUAUAUACUCUUAUACCCUGAAAACACCCAGGGGAUCCACGAAACCACUUUUCCACCGCCGCAACCUUCUGUACUCGUGAGAUCCCAUCUAGGGACCUUUUCCGGCGAUCCGCCGGAGGGGGAUUCGAUCACGGAGGGCUUCUACAUCAACAUCAUAGCCUCCCCGAUGAUGUGUGAGUAGUUUACCACACACCUUCGUGUCCAUAGUUAUUAGCUAGAUCGCUUCUUCUCUCUCUUUUGUUCUCAAUACAAAGUUCUCCUCGAUAUUCUUGGAGAUCUAUUCGAUGUAAUACUUUUUGCGGUGUGUUUGCUGAGAUCCGAUGAAUUGUGGGUUUAUGAUCAAGUUUAUCUAUGAACAAUAUUUGAUUCUUCUCUGAAUUCUUAUAUGCAUGAUUUGAUAUCUUUGCAAGUUUCUUCGAAUUAUCAGUUUGGUUUAGCCUACUAGAUUGAUCUUUCUUGCAAUGGGAGAAGUGCUUAGCUUUGGGUUCAAUCUUGCGGUGCUUGAUCCCAGUGACAGAAAGGGAACCGACACAUAUUGUAUUGUUGCCAUCGAGGAUAACAAGAUGUGGUUUAUAUCAUAUUGCUUGAGUUUAUCCCUCUACAUCAUGUCAUCUUGCCUAAUGCGUUACUCUGUUCUUAUAAACUUAAUACUCUAGAUGCAUGCUAGAUAGAGGUCAAUGCGUGAAGUAAUAGUAGUAGAUGCAGAAUUGUUUCGGUCUACUUGACACGGACAUGAUGCCUAUAUUCAUGAUCAUUGCCUUAGAUAUCAUCAUAACUAUGCGCUUUUCUAUCAAUUGCUCGGCAGUAAUUUGUUCACCCACCGUAAUACAUGCUAUCAUGAGAGAAUCCACUAGUGAAACCUAUGGCCCUCGGGUCUACUUUACAUCAUAUAAGUUUCUGAUCUAUAAUUCUAGUUUACUAUUUAUUUUGCAAUCUUUAUUUUCCAAUUUAUACAACAAAAAUAUCAAAAAUAUUUAUCUUAUUAUCUUUAUUAGAUCUCACUUUUGCAAGUGGCCAUGAAGGGAUUGACAACCCCUUUACCGCGUUGGUUGCAAGGUUCUUGAUUGUUUGUGCAGGUACUAGGCGACUUGCGUGUAGUCUCCUACUGGAUUGAUACCUUGGUUAUCAAAAACUGAGGGAAAUACUUAUGCUACUUUGCUGCAUCACCCUUUUCUCUUCAAGGGAAAACCAACGCAUGCUCAAGAGGUAGCACUCUCCCACUCUCCCACUUUCCUCGCUCGCCUCUCCCUCUCCGCCUCCCCUCCUCAGAUCUCCCUCCUUCCCGAGCGCAUCUGACGCCACACCGUCGUCGACCGCGAGGCCAAGGACUUCACCGCGCCACCAAGUGAUUUCCAGGAGGACCCCCGUCGCCGUCUGCGUCGACCAGGAGCACCAGAUUGUAGCGACGAGACCUCAAACAGUCUGAUCUCUGUGCAUUAGUGUCAUCCCUGGAUCGGUAAUGCUGACACGCACAAUACUUAAGGAUUUAUAACAGAGUAGCAAUCACACACUUAUUACAUCAAAUGUCUCAAAAGAGAACUUAUUACAAUAAAUAUGGCUUAAGGCCAUCUAAUACGAUAACAACGGAAGGCUUGGAAGAUAAAGUGACUCCAUCAACUCCAAUGGCAUCACUGAGUGAAAGACCACGACCUAAGGCUCCUUACUCGUCGUCUGAAAAGUCUGCAACAUAAUACGUUGCAGCCCAAAACGGGCCAGCACAUGGAAUAUGCUGGCAGUGUACCACAAGAGAGUAAUGAAUAGAAAAAUGCUAUCACUACAUGCAUAUAUGGCUGGUGGAAAAGCUCUAUGGUUAUAAUGUUUUUGCGAAAAGCCAAUUUUUCCCUACUGCAAAGGAAUAUAUUUUAUUUAACUACAAAGUUGGUUGAAAAACAUUAAGAAGGUAAACCCCCUCUCAAUCCCAAUUAACAGUAAUUAAUAACCCAACAAAAUUAAUUUAGAGUGAUGAGAUCCACACGAUAAUCCAAGAACCAGAUACUCAAGAUGUCCAUAACCGGGGAAACGGCUAACCAUGAUUAGUUUGUACACUCUGCAGAAGUUUGUGCACUUUUCCCCACAAGACUCGAUCUCCUCCGUUGGAUUUCUCGCACUACAUGAUGUUUGAGAAACGGAUGACCGAGAUAUAGUCUUUCCGAAGAGGUCCCCUUAACCGAUAGAUAGGCCGGUACACCUACAAUCCCCUACAUCUGCUAGCCCAUCAUGGAAAGGUUUCCCACAACUUACUCAACUAUGCCAGAGCCCAUAAUGGCAUGUGGCUGCACACGAAAGUUUCCAACAUGAAUAAUCUUAUGAUCCCUUGGAGCCUGGGUCGCGGUCCAUAGGAAAAUCACACGGUACCCCGGGAUUUCCAAAAAUACAGGCAAUCACUGGAUACCCCAGGUGCCUCAAUCCACCUAGAUGUGUAUUAAAGUUGGCACCUUAAGUUGAACCAUUAAUUAACAAUCUCACAUCUGUCAUGAAUACACUCAAACCCAAUCCACGUCUACGAGCAUAGCAUAGCAGUAUAAGCAACAUAGAAGUAACUCCCAGGGUUUGAUAAUAAACAGGUGAAUAGGUACUACCUCUUCUACUUCCCAACCCACAAUUUAAUCAGAUCCUAACCAUGCAAUUGUUUGAGGAUUUAUCUAAUGCAAUAAAACUGGGUAGUAAAUAGGUAUGAUCAAAGUGUUACUUGCCUUGCUGAUGAUCCGUGAAACCUCGAGACUCGAUGUAGCACGCUUCACACUCCGGGUACUCUAUCGCAAUCAAACAAGCAUACAAUAAGCAAUCAAGCAAGGGCACGGGUAAAACUCAAAUAAGAGAUCUAACUAGAAAGUUCAACUUAAGAACUCCGGUUUGCAAAAAGAAUCAAAUCAAACGAAGCAACAAAACUCAAACAGCGAAAAAACAAGCUUCAUUUACUAAUCUGGGCUAAAGUCAAAUUUUACAAUAGCAAAAACUUGUUUAAGUUGGUUAAACAGAAAGAGGGUUUCGAGACGAAACUCUAGGCGCUUGAAUCGCCUGAUUCCGAUAAACGAGCGAAAAGUUAUACUAAAACGAAAAUCGGAUCAGAAAUUACGAUCGAAAAUAAUCGCGGAAAAUCCGAGAAAAAGAAAAACUGACGAACAAGCUAACAAACGAACGUUCUCUGUCUGCGGCUAACGGAUGAAAACCGUUCGUUAAAACGAACGUACGAACGAACGUCCGCUAUUUAACUAAACCAAAAAACCAA